CCUACGGGGAGGCUGCAGUGGGGAAUAUUGGACAAUGGGCGAAAGCCUGAUCCAGCCAUGCCGCGUGUGUGAAGAAGGCCUUCGGGUUGUAAAGCACUUUCAGUGGGGAAGAAAGCCUUGGGGCUAAUACCCUCGAGGAAGGACAUCACCCACAGAAGAAGCACCGGCUAACUCCGUGCCAGCAGCCGCGGUAAUACGGAGGGUGCGAGCGUUAAUCGGAAUUACUGGGCGUAAAGCGCGCGUAGGCGGUCUGAUAAGCCGGUUGUGAAAGCCCCGGGCUCAACCUGGGAACGGCAUCCGGAACUGUCAGGCUAGAGUGCAGGAGAGGAAGGUAGAAUUCCCGGUGUAGCGGUGAAAUGCGUAGAGAUCGGGAGGAAUACCAGUGGCGAAGGCGGCCUUCUGGACUGACACUGACGCUGAGGUGCGAAAGCGUGGGUAGCAAACAGGAUUAGAUACCCUUGUAGUC
rnacentral:rRNA from 1 species